CCUACGGGAGGCAGCAGUGGGGAAUUUUGGACAAUGGGCGAAAGCCUGAUCCAGCAAUGCCGCGUGAGUGAAGAAGGCCUUCGGGUUGUAAAGCUCUUUUGUCAGGGAAGAAACGGUGAGGGCUAAUAUCUCUUGCUAAUGACGGUACCUGAAGAAUAAGCACCGGCUAACUACGUGCCAGCAGCCGCGGUAAUACGUAGGGUGCAAGCGUUAAUCGGAAUUACUGGGCGUAAAGCGUGCGCAGGCGGUUUUGUAAGUCUGUCGUGAAAUCCCCGGGCUCAACCUGGGAAUUGCGAUGGAGACUGCAAGGCUAGAAUCUGGCAGAGGGGGGUAGAAUUCCACGUGUAGCAGUGAAAUGCGUAGAGAUGUGGAGGAACACCGAUGGCGAAGGCAGCCCCCUGGGUCAAGAUUGACGCUCAUGCACGAAAGCGUGGGGAGCAAACAGGAUUAGAUACCCUGGUAGUCCACGCCCUAAACGAUGUCUACUAGUUGUCGGGUUUUAAUUAACUUGGUAACGCAGCUAACGCGUGAAGUAGACCGCCUGGGGAAUACGGUCGCAAGNUUAAAACUCAAAAGUANAGUAGACGNGAGAGAGACGACGACGACGACGACGGAGGAGGAGG
rnacentral:rRNA from 1 species